CUUUAAAAUUUUAUAUAACUACCUCAUUUUAAAUCUCUUUGGUAAGCUGUUAUGUUUGAAAUUGGUUCUGACUGGUUCUGAAAAACAGAAAAACAUUAAAAACUGGUAUUGAAUUAAAUAAAUUAUUGGCAUUGAUUGAAAGCGAUAGGUUGUGAUGAAUGGGCUGUAAUCUUGACUUGCACUCUGUAAGCCUGCACCAAGGAUACUUGAUAACACCUCCACGGGAUAUUGAAGUAUCGACGAUUAAUGCCUACAGAAUGCCGAGAAGGUGUUUUACGAUCGAAUAAAUUGUAAACAUUAAGGGAUAUCGUGGAAUUUGCUUAGUAACACUAGGUAAUUACAUAUUUUCAACAAAAAAAGUUUCAGUUAUGCUAUCAUCACUACAAGAGUAUAGGAUAUCUUAUUUACCCUUCAACAUGGGUAAUUUUAAAUUGGAUAAAGAACGUUGAGUUAAAUCAAAUAGUGUGACAAUCUAAAUAUAGGAAGCUCUUUUUAUUUUACUGUCAUAGGUAGCUUACAAACAACUAGAUACCACACACCAAAAGUAAACUUGUCAUCAUAUGAUUUAAGGAUAAGAGUGCAAGAUUACAUACCUGUGUAAGAAUUGAAAUAUGAUGGUUUCGCCUAUUUGACAUCACCUCUUAAGGAAUUACCGAAUUUGCAAAUCAGCUCUAGAAUCACAGAAAAAUAGCCAAUAAAUUAUUUUAGUAAACAA